UGGAUGUGAUUUGAGUCUUACUCGCCCGUUUGAUUAAUUCAUGAAGUACAAGCGAAAAAAAGGUUGAUUUUCUUCAUGUGAGCCA